rnacentral:lncRNA from 1 species
GCAUUUGAGCAUUAUAAAACGUUAAUUACUACGAAGCUGGGAAUUUCAGGUCAUGUGCACAGAUUAAUGGCUGGAUCCAUGGCAGGUAAACAUAUUCUACUAUUUGUAUUGGAUUGUAGUUGUAAACUGAGGGAAGAAGAAAGCUGUUACCACCACUAUUCAAGGUAUGACAGCAGUUAUCUGUACUUACCCUCUUGACAUGGUUAGGGUCCGCCUAGCAUUCCAGGUGAAAGGGGAACACAGCUAUACAGGAAUUAUUCAUGCUUUCAAAACAAUUUAUGCAAAGGAAGGUGGUUUCUUUGGAUUUUACA